UGGGGGAUAUUGCACAAUGGGGGAAACCCUGAUGCAGCGACGCCGCGUGAGGGAAGACGGUCUUCGGAUUGUAAACCUCUGUCUUCGGGGACGAAACUGACGGUACCCGAGGAGGAAGCCACGGCUAACUACGUGCCAGCAGCCGCGGUAAUACGUAGGUGGCGAGCGUUGUCCGGAAUUACUGGGUGUAAAGGGAGCGUAGGCGGGAAUGCAAGUUGAAUGUGAAAUCUAUCGGCUCAACCGAUAGCUGCGUUCAAAACUGUGUUUCUUGAGUGAAGUAGAGGCAGGCGGAAUUCCUAGUGU
rnacentral:rRNA from 1 species